rnacentral:rRNA from 1 species
UACGGGGGGGGCAAGCGUUGUUCGGAAUUACUGGGCGUAAAGGGCUCGUAGGCGGCCAACUAAGUCAGACGUGAAAUCCCUCGGCUUAACCGGGGAACUGCAUCUGAUACUGGAUGGCUUGAGUUCGGGAGAGGGAUGCGGAAUUCCAGGUGUAGCGGUGAAAUGCGUAGAUAUCUGGAGGAACACCGGUGGCGAUGGCGGCAUCCUGGACCGACACUGACGCUGAGGAGCGAAAGCCAGGGGAGCAAACGGG